rnacentral:rRNA from 1 species
GACGAACGCUGGCGGCGUGCCUAACACAUGCAAGUCUAAGGAGAAAAGGGUAGCAAUAUCCUGAGUAAACUGGCGCACGGGUGAGUAACACGUAGGCAAUCUGCCUUUAGGACGGGAACAACCACGCGAAAGCGUGGCUAAUACCCGAUAAUGCAGCGGCACCGCAUGGUGACAGUUGUUAAAUCCCGCAAGGGGCCUAUUGAUGAGCCUGCGUCCCAUUAGGAGUUGGUGAGGUAACGGCUCACCAAGCCUGCGAUGGGUAGCUGGUCUGAGAGGAUGAUCAGCCACACUGGAACUGAGACACGGUCCAGACUCCUACGGGAGGCAGCAGUGAGGAAUAUUGCGCAAUGGCCGAAAGGCUGACGCAGCGACGCCGCGUGAAGGAUGAAGUCCGUUAGG